GAGAGGGUCGUGAUUGUACUUCU
rnacentral:miRNA from 1 species